rnacentral:tRNA from 1 species
GGUUAUGUGGUGCAAUGGAUAGCACAUUGGACUUUUAUAACAAAAGGUUAUUCAAAGGCUGUGCGUUCAAGUCCUACCAGAGUCA